ensembl:lncRNA
AGGGCUGCACCAGCAGCAUAUGGAGGUUCCCAGGCUAGGGGUUGAAUCAGAGCAGUAGCCUCUGGCCUCACCACAGCCACAGCAACGCGGGAUCUGAGCCACAUCUGUGACCUACACUACAGCUCACAGCAACGCCGGACCCUUAACCCCCUGAGCAAGGCCAAGGAUCGAACCUGCAUCCUCAUGGAUGCUAGUCAGAUUCCUUUCCGCUGAGCCAUGACUGCCUUUCAUAUUUUUUGAAGCCAUGGCAUUUAUACAAAAAUACCACAGUUGAAGAAAAGUUGUCUGUAUUUAUUUUGUGUGUUUCAUCUUAAGGCACAUAAUUUAUGUAAGCUGGCUAGGAGGACAUUCAGUUAAAAAUUCAGAACAUUGGAGUUCCCGUCGUGGCGCAGUGCUUAAUGAAUCUGACGAGGAACCAUGAGGCUGCAGGUUCAAUUUUUGUAGUACUUAAGCUACUCCUUAGUUGUCUCACAAUGGAAUUGAUGUAGAGGAACACUUUCAAGGAAUUGCUGAGGUUCAGAAUAAGACUGUACAACGCGUAAGAGUGUUUUCUAUAAUGGAUUUCCAAAUAGUUAAAUUAAGAAUCAUUUACUCUCAAUUUCUCCAGCUUCACUUGUCUUCCGGCAAAAAUUAAAGCUGUGCAACCUGUACAUAACAGCAGUUUCUAACAAUGCCAAAUCAACAGCAAUUUCUAGAUCAUUUUCAUUCCCUUCUCCAUGAAAAUGCCCAACAAACUGUUAGGUUACUAAAGAAAACUGAUCAGGUAAUAUUACUCUUUGCUUUCACGUAAUCAUUCUAAGUACAUCUAAAAUCAGACAUUGACAUGAAAAUAUGAGGGGAAGAAAAACUUCAAGCCAGAGAAUUGAGUUUUACUUUUACUGACAUUUAUAUAUCACACUUCCUGUUUAUGAUUUCAGAAGUGCAGCCAUGCAGUGCUUCUGUUAAAACUAAGUAAUUGGGAACAGUUUUGAGGAUUACAUGGCAGCUUACUCAAAGGGAAAAAAAAAAUUGAGCUGCUUAUGGAAUUGCUAUCUUUGUUGUGUACAAAGUUGAAUCUUUGUCAAAUGUCAUUUACUAAUAGUGUAAUUAAAAGGGAACUUGAUGGCUUUGUGCCUUUAAAACAAACAGCCCGAUCAUAGUUCUAAAUUUGACCAGUUGAUGGGAUAAGAAAACCAAGCCAACCCCUUUCUACUAUAUAUAUAAAGGUAAUUCUUGCAAACAUUUUUUUUUUUCCCUUCAUGUAGAGAUUUCAGUUAACUUUUGUUGUGCCUUGACAAUUCUGCCCAAAGGAGGGAAAGGGUAGACAUAAAUACAGUUCUUAAAAGGCCUUUUCUUCCACUAUUGUUCUUAUUUGAAGCACAAUUAUGAGUUAAUUUUUGGUGACCAGAAUUUGUGUGUGUUUGUAUGUGCACAUGCAUGUAUAUGUAGAGAGAGAGAGAGAGAGAGCACCCAAGUGAGCAGUGGCUGCUAGCCAGACAUCAAAAUCCAUAUUCUUAUUUAUUUCUUUUUUGCUUUUUAGGGCUGCACCUGCAGCAUACGGAAGUUCCCAGGCUAGGGGUCUAAUCCGAGCUGCAGCUGCCAACCUGUGCCACAGCCACAGCAACACCAACACCGAGUCGAGCCACGUUUGUGACCCACACUGCAGCUCAUGGCAACACCAGAUCCUUAACCCACUGAGUGGGGCCAGGGACCAAUCCCACAUCCACAUGGAUACUAGUCAGGUUGGUUUCCACUG